rnacentral:misc_RNA from 1 species
GAUGAAGAACGCAGCGAAAUGCGAUAAGUAAUGUGAAUUGCAGAAUUCAGUGAAUCAUCGAAUCUUUGAACGCACAUUGCGCCCGCCAGUAUUCUGGCGGGCAUGCCUGUUCGAGCGUCAUUUCAACCAUCAAGCCCCCGGCUUGUGUUGGGGACCUGCGGCUGCCGCAGGCCCUGAAAACCAGUGGCGGGCUCGCUAGUCACUCCGAGCGUAGUAAUACAUCUCGCUCAGGGCGUGCUGCGGGUUCCGGCCGUUAAAAAGCCUUAUUUACCCAAGGUUGACCUCGGAUCAGGUAGGAAGACCCGCUGAACUUAAGCAUAUCAAUAAGAGGAGGA